UGUCAACUAGUUGUUGGGGAUUCAUUUCCUUAGUAACGUAGCUAACGCGUGAAGUUGACCGCCUGGGGAGUACGGUCGCAAGAUUAAAACUCAAAGGAAUUGACGGGGACCCGCACAAGCGGUGGAUGAUGUGGAUUAAUUCGAUGCAACGCGAAAAACCUUACCUACCCUUGACAUGGUCGGAAUCCUGCUGAGAGGUGGGAGUGCUCGAAAGAGAACCGAUACACAGGUGCUGCAUGGCUGUCGUCAG
rnacentral:rRNA from 1 species